rnacentral:rRNA from 1 species
GGGGAAUUUUCCGCAAUGGGCGAAAGCCUGACGGAGCAAUCUCGCGUGAGGGAUGACUGCCUAUGGGUUGUAAACCUCUUUUUUCAGGGAGGAAUCAAUGACGUGAACCUGAAGAAUAAGCAUCGGCUAACUCCGUGCCAGCAGCCGCGGUAAGACGGAGGAUGCAAGUGUUAUCCGGAAUCACUGGGCGUAAAGCGUCUGUAGGUGGUUUAAUAAGUCAACUGUUAAAUCUUGAAGCUCAACUUCAAAAUCGCAGUCGAAACUAUUAGACUAGAGUAUAGUAGGGGUAAAGGGAAUUUCCAGUGGAGCGGUGAAAUGCGUANAGAUUGGAAAGAACACCGAUGGCGAAGGCACUUUACUGGGCUAUUACUGACACUCAGAGACGAAAGCUAGGGUAGCAAAUGGGAUUAGAUACCCCAGUAGUC